GAAGAUUCAAAGUUUCGAAUGACUAAGUUUGUUUUUUAUAUACUGCAACCUGAAUUUUUAUUUAGUUCUCUAUUCUCCAAUUAAAACAAAUGUGCUAGAAUAGGUUUAUUAAAAAUUCAAGAAUAUGUCCGAUUUCGGUAAUCCUGUAUUACUUGAAACAUACGGUGAUGGAAUAAGGAGUGAUUUUUAUAAGCUCAGGAACCAAAUUCACAUCACUUCAAAGCUGCUGUUCUUAUCUAGACGGAAAAUGCUUGAUGCCAUAUUAAUAAACGAACUUGGUUCACCAGAGGAAGAUACGAUUGCUUUGAAGGCUAGAACAAGAAUGAAAUCAUCAGUUAGAAAACGGUACUUCCCACAACGAAUAGUACAGUUACUAUUGAGAACUAAUGAUAUUUAUCUAAUGAAAAUUUUUUAUUUAUAAUGAAUUGAAGAUAAAUGACUUUCGAAAAGUUUUCAAUUAUGUUUGAAAAAAAUCAAAUUUCUUUUUCUUCGAGCAUUUCAUUCCAAGUCAUACUUUUACCCAACCUUACUUUAAAUUUCCUAGAAA